UUCUCACUCACAAAAUAUGCCAUCAUCUUCCUCUUCUUCCCCUCUCUCUCUCUCUCUCUCAAUCUUGAUCUCUAUAUCCCUUUCUAUCUCCCUUAGAUUGAAUAACCACCAUUUCCACCACCUACUGUUGUCACAAGCUCCUCCGUCCAGCACCAAUCUUGCACCAUCACUACCAUAUUGGUGCCACCGAAACUAAAUUUUCUCGGAGAUUCAUAUUCACGGAAAUACUACUCGACCUUCUCGCAUCCAUUCCAGAACACUAAUCGUCUAUCGAACGUUAAGGUAGUGGCGCAUGAGCAUAGGUGUGAUGUUUUGGACGAGGGAUUACGGAUAUAGGCCUGUAGAUAUGAAAUAAUGUAGUAAGGCUUAUAUUGUACUGUUUAUGCUUUUGAUCUGUACGAACAUGACAUCCCGAGUCUUUUAAUGAAAUACAUUUCUAUGGAAAUGCUUUUGAUAAA